rfam:Clunio marinus genome assembly, contig: CLTMA_scaffold_019824
UUUUAGUGAGUAGGAAGGUAUUAUGGUAUGCGUUGAAGUAUCUAGCGUGAACUGAUAUGGAGCUUCCAUAAGCACAGAUCUUGGUGGUAGUAGCAAAUAUUCGAAUGAGAUCUUG